rnacentral:pre_miRNA from 1 species
AGGGCUUCCACUGGUAGUCACGAGUUUAUUUGACGUCGUGAACCCAGUAUAGUCUAUGA